rnacentral:rRNA from 1 species
CCUACGGGUUGCACCAGUGGGGAAUAUUGCACAAUGGCGCAAGCCUGACGCAGCCAUGCCGCGUGUAUGAAGAAGGCCUUCGGGUUGUAAAGUACUUUCAGCGGGGAGGAAGGCGAUAAGGUUAAUAACCUUGUCGAUUGACGUUACCCGCAGAAGAAGCACCGGCUAACUCCGUGCCAGCAGCCGCGGUAAUACGGAGGGUGCAAGCGUUAAUCGGAAUUACUGGGCGUAAAGCGCACGCAGGCGGUCUGUCAAGUCGGAUGUGAAAUCCCCGGGCUCAACCUGGGAGCUGCAUUCGAAACUGGCAGGCUAGAGUCUUGUAGAGGGGGGUAGAAUUCCAGGUGUAGCGGUGAAACGCGUAGAGAUCUGGAGGAAUACCGGUGGCGAAGGCCGCCCCCUGGACAAAGACUGACGCUCAGGUGCGAAAGCGUGGGGAGCAAACAGGAUUAGAUACCCCAGUAGUC